rnacentral:rRNA from 1 species
UACGGAGGGUGCGAGCGUUGUCCGGAAUUACUGGGCGUAAAGCGUGCGCAGGCGGUUCGCUAAGACCGAUGUGAAAUCCCCGGGCUUAACCUGGGAACUGCAUUGGUGACUGGCGGGCUAGAGUAUGGCAGAGGGGGGUAGAAUUCCACGUGUAGCAGUGAAAUGCGUAGAGAUGUGGAGGAAUACCGAUGGCGAAGGCAGCCCCCUGGGCCAAUACUGACGCUCAUGCACGAAAGCGUGGGGAGCAAACAGG